GUUAUUACUUGUUUGUAUUUAUAUCUCCCAUCUAGACUGUCAUUUACCUGUAGUUAGGGACCACAGAUUCUCAUUUUUAUUUCCACAGUUUCUGAAAAAGUGUGUGAAGCAUGCUCAGAAUCAAUAAGCUUCCACUUAAUAAAUGAGAAAGGAGUGAACUCAUCAGAAUCCCAGAGAUUGCUGAAAAAAAUUACCACGGAAGUUUUCAUGAGAAGAUGAGAAACAACAGGUCGAGAAUCUGCUGCAUCAAAGCUCUGGUGGAAUAAACAGGGGAAGAAAAAUCUCAAAGGUUCACAGCCAGGUUUUAGAGAUGAAGGGCAGGAUGCUGGGCUGUACUCCUGCACAAACUUUCAACUUGUGCACUUGGAAAGCUGUGUUCUUUCCAUCAAAGGGCAGAGACUCUAACAGGUAGGAACUUUGACUUGCACUGUACAACAGAGCUGCCAAGGAUGAUGUCAUGACCCUUGUAAACGUC
rnacentral:lncRNA from 1 species